rfam:Salmo salar isolate Sally breed double haploid chromosome ssa02, whole genome shotgun sequence.
CCCUGUGGCUCAGUUGGUAGAGCAUGGUGUUUGCAACGCAAGCAUGUUGUGUGCAACGCCAGGGUUGUGGGUUCGAGUCCCACAGGGG